rnacentral:rRNA from 1 species
UACGUAGGUGGCAAGCGUUAUCCGGAAUUAUUGGGCGUAAAGAGCGCGCAGGUGGUUAAUUAAGUCUGAUGUGAAAGCCCACGGCUUAACCGUGGAGGGUCAUUGGAAACUGGUUGACUUGAGUGCAGAAGAGGGAAGUGGAAUUCCAUGUGUAGCGGUGAAAUGCGUAGAGAUAUGGAGGAACACCAGUGGCGAAGGCGGCUUCCUGGUCUGCAACUGACACUGGGGCGCGAAAGCGUGGGGAGCAAAUAGG